rnacentral:rRNA from 1 species
AAAUUUUGGUCGGGUUGCAAGGAUGGCCAGAGGGAGACCGCUUGGGUCUCAUGGAGAACAAUUACAAAACCUAAGUUUAUGGGUGGUUUAGGUUUAAGAUACGUGGAGUUGUUUAACCUAGCUGUACUAGCACGGCAAGCAUGGCGAUUAUGACGAGACCUAGACUCACUAAUUGCUUGUAUUCUCAAAGCAAGAUACUUCUGUGAUUAUAACCUGCUUGACGCUACCAUAGGAUCAGCUUUAUCGCAGGUGUGACGUUCUUUCACUGAAGGCAGGGAUGUUCUGGCGCUUGGUCUGAUAAAGCGGAUUGGUACAGGACAGAAUACAAAAAUCUGGAGCGAGAGUUGGCUGCCGAGAGAUUAUAAAAUUCGACAGAUAUGUGCCCGAUCGAUGAACCCUCCAUCUCUUGUGUCGGAUCUCGUUGAUCCUGUCAUGCGGGUGUGGGAUAAGCCAGCUAUCACUGAACACUUCAUUGCUCCUGACGUCGAGGUGAUCCUCAAUAUAUCGCUCAGCACCCAGAUUCAGGAUGAUUUCUGGGCUUGGCAUUACGACAUGCGCAGAGUUUUUUCAGUACGGUCGGCAUACAGGAUGCUCUCAGCUGUCAAGACCCGGAGAGAGGAUUGGUUGGAGCAUAGAUCAGGGCACUCAAAUAUUGCAGCUGAUAAAAAUUCCUGGUCGCAACUCUGGAAGGUGAAGGUGCCAUCAAAGGUUCGUGAUAAAAAUUACAAGCUAAGUAAAAUAUGCAAAUAUAUUUCAUGA